rnacentral:tRNA from 1 species
AAUGAAUUGCCUGACAAAAGGAUUACCUUGAUAGGGUAAAUCAUACAAUUGAAAAAUUGUAUUCAUUG